rnacentral:rRNA from 1 species
GACGAACGCUGGCGGCGUGCUUAACACAUGCAAGUCGAACGGAAAGGCCCUGCUUUUGUGGGGUGCUCGAGUGGCGAACGGGUGAGUAACACGUGAGUAACCUGCCCUUGUCUUUGGGAUAACUUCAGGAAACUGGGGCUAAUACCGGAUAGGAGCUCCUGCUGCAUGGUGGGGGUUGGAAAGUUUCGGCGGUUGGGGAUGGACUCGCGGCUUAUCAGCUUGUUGGUGGGGUAGUGGCUUACCAAGGCUUUGACGGGUAGCCGGCCUGAGAGGGUGACCGGCCACAUUGGGACUGAGAUACGGCCCAGACUCCUACGGGAGGCAGCAGUGGGGAAUAUUGCACAAUGGGCGGAAGCCUGAUGCAGCAACGCCGCGUGCGGGAUGACGGCCUUCGGGUUGUAAACCGCUUUCGCCUGUGACGAAGCGUGAGUGGCGGUAAUGGGUAAAGAAGCACCGGCUAACUACGUG